UUCAGCUUGUUCCACCCAUCCACUCCACACCUUCUUGAUUCAGAUCGCUCACCUGGUCCCAGCCCUACCCACCUGGCUCCUGCUGCCUGCUUCUGCACUCCAUCAAUCAGGACCUGCUUGACCAGAUUGUUAUCCCAGCCUGGCCCAGCCCUGGACCCAGCCCCAGCCCCAGCCCCAGCCCCAGCAAAUCUGGCCUCCAACCCAGAUCGCUCAUCGCCUCAGGCCAGCCCCAGGACCCAGGCUGCUGGUAGCUGCCCCUUGUGUCUUUGGAAUCAAAAACCAGUUGGACAAGAUAUACAAAAGAGGCAUUGAACAGGGCCAAAGAAGCACAAAGCUAAACAUGAAUUGUGGCAAAAGAGCACGAAGGUCAAAAAAGAAGAAAUCAAUCCAGGUAGGACUGAUGAACUUCUAAGCCAAUACAAAGAACUUGAACCUAGUGUGAGACUUGAGGUUGCGAUGCUUGACAUGUUAAGACAUAGGCCUUCCUUGUAUCCACACUCUUUGCAAUAGUACUUACAGACAAGUAUCUCAAAUUUGACUCCAACUUGGCUCCUAUAAUCUAGUUCUUUUCUGUCUUUCAUAGUGUGGCAACAUUCUGUAGUCCUGGCUACUGAUUGGGUAAAUGCUUAAUUGCUCAUAUCAUUUUAAUUGGGCCCUGAUUCAAGAACCUGUUAUAGAUUUAUUUUUCCUUUACUUGGAAUUUUUACAGAUAAGACUUUGAUAGUCUAUAUUUCAUCCAGAAACUAUUGUUUUUAUUUGGAUUUUUUUGUUUUUUUAUUUCUUAUGACAAUUAAUUCAUAUACCUCAUACCUCAGCCAUGCAAAAUCCCUGUGUUUUUCAAUCACCCUCUUCAGGGGGGGAAUGUAAAAUUAUUAUUCUUUUAAAUUGCAAAGUUAAAAUUCCUUUUGAGAAGAAUUUUAGGUUAAGAAACAUGCUGCCUCUCUGAAUCCAGAAACUGAAAUAUUUGGAGAAGUCCUUGAUGCCUCCACAGACCACAAGCUGCAUGAGAAGAUCAAGA
rnacentral:lncRNA from 1 species